ensembl:snoRNA SNORD83 Small nucleolar RNA SNORD83
GCCACAUGAUGUGAUGUAGAUUGCAUUAGCACUCUGUGCAAAGAUGACCAGCUAUCUAUCACCCAUGACUGAUGGCU